UACGUAGGGGGCUAGCGUUGUCCGGAAUCAUUGGGCGUAAAGCGCGUGUAGGCGGCCGGAUAAGUCCGCUGUGAAAGUCCAGGGCUCAACCCUGGGAUGCCGGUGGAUACUGUCGGGCUCGAGUCCGGAAGAGGCGAGUGGAAUUCCUGGUGUAGCGGUGAAAUGCGCAGAUAUCAGGAGGAACACCAAUGGCGAAGGCAGCUCGCUGGGACGUGACUGACGCUGAGACGCGAAAGCGUGGGGAGCAAACAGG
rnacentral:rRNA from 1 species